rnacentral:rRNA from 1 species
CAGAGGUCCCAAGCGUUGUUCGGAUUCACUGGGCGUAAAGGGUGCGUAGGUGGUCUCGCAAGUCUGAUGUGAAAUCUCCGGGCUUAACCCGGAAAUGGCAUUGGAAACUGCGGGGCUAGAGUGUUGGAGGGGGGACUGGAAUUCUCGGUGUAGCAAUGAAAUGCGUAGAUAUCGAGAGGAACACCAGUGGCGAAGGCGAGUCCCUGGACAACUACUGACACUGAGGCACGAAAGCUAGGGGAGCAAACAGGAUUAGAUACCCUGGUAGUCCUAGCCGUAAACGGUGCUUGCUUGCUGUAAAAGGAAUCGACCCCUUUUGUGGCGAAGCCAACGCGAUAAGCAAGCCGCCUGGGAAGUACGGUCGCAAGAUUA